rnacentral:rRNA from 1 species
GAUGAACGCUGGCGGCGUGCCUAAUACAUGCAAGUCGAGCGAACAGACGAGGAGCUUGCUCCUCUGACGUUAGCGGCGGACGGGUGAGUAACACGUGGAUAACCUACCUAUAAGACUGGGAUAACUUCGGGAAACCGGAGCUAAUACCGGAUAAUAUAUUGAACCGCAUGGUUCAAUAGUGAAAGACGGUUUUGCUGUCACUUAUAGAUGGAUCCGCGCCGCAUUAGCUAGUUGGUAAGGUAACGGCUUACCAAGGCAACGAUGCGUAGCCGACCUGAGAGGGUGAUCGCCCACACUGGAACUGAGACACGGUCCAGACUCCUACGGGAGGCAGCAGUAGGGAAUCUUCCGCAAUGGGCGAAAGCUUGACGGAGCAACGCCGCGUGAGUGAUGAAGGUCUUCGGAUCGUAAAACUCUGUUAUUAGGGAAGAGCAAAUGUGUAAGUAACUAUGCACGUCUUGACGGUACCUAAUCAGAAAGCCACGGCUAACUACGUG